GCGGACGUAGCUCAGUUGGUUAGAGCGCGGGCUUGUGGUGCCCGAUGUCGAGGGUUCGAAUCCCUUCGUUCGCCCCA
rnacentral:tRNA from 1 species